rnacentral:misc_RNA from 1 species
AACACAAACUUGUUUCAUUUCUUGAUUGGGAUGGAGCAGACUGUGAAGGUCUUGUAAUUACAAGUCCUUUUAAACGACGGUACCUAUGCGUCCUAGUGAGAUGUAUUAUUUAAAGGUAUGCCUGCGCUCCUUUCGAAAGUCUUGUGUGGCGGCACACAGCACUCAAAGAGAGAGCAAAUCGCGGUAGUUUUGCUUGUACUUCGGUACGAGUGGACACAUAUUGCUUUUUGUGAUUUCUGCGAGUCUGUUGUCAAAGUACAAGGCACGUAAGGAGAGUUGGUAUGCUGGUGCAUUUCUUGGCGUAUGGAGGCAAAUUGGGAAUUCAAUCCAAU